CUUGAGACAAUCUUCUCUGUGUCCCAAGGGAUAAGAAGGCUCCAGCUGACACAUCCAUUAUUUAUGGAACUGGGAGCGCAAAACAGCUUUGACACUGAAGACUUUCCACGAAGAGAAGUCCUUGUGUUUUGCUCAGAACCUCUUGGAGCAGAGAAUUUCCAGGAGGACACUUUCAUCUGCCACAAGGUUGAAUCAGACUUUUCCGAAGCCCUACUCUGCCUUGUGGGGACAGGAAGAAUGAGCAGCCUCUGGGGUGACCUCUAGCAUCUGACAUUCUGCCACUUGAGAAUGCUCUCGAACAGAUUGCACAUUUGAUUGGAAGUUACCAUCCCAAGACUGGAUCCAUGGUCAUGGGGCAGAGGGGAUCCAGGCAGCUGAACAGAGAUGAAAAAUGAACCCUGUCUGAUUUGCCCCCAAACCAUCUGGAUGGAUGGUGGUCUGGCAAACCUUUUAUCUGUUUUCAAAAGAAACUUUACACUGAAUUCCAAUAUAUAUAAAUCCAGUUUUUAAAAUAGAUUUUCUUUAUUUGACACACAGAGAGAGCGCAUGCACACAAGCAGGGCUAAGGAGCAGAGAGAGAGGGAGGAGCAAGGUCCCACUGAGCAGCCAUCCAGACAUGGAGCUCAAUCCCGGGACCCUGGGAUCAUGAUCUGAGCCGAAAACAGAUGCCCAAUGACUGAGCGACCCAGCCACCCCACCACACACCUGUGUUUUUUGCAAGUGUUACAGCUUUUAACUGCCUGCCUUGCAACCUCGGGAUACUCUCCAAUUACACUGAUCUAAAAGCUUGAAAGAAGAGUAGUAGAAACUUUUUGUCUCAAACACUGAAUCACCAGCAUUCUUUUCUAAGUGCUAAUAUUUAUUAUGAUUAUAAAAGGCAAU
rnacentral:lncRNA from 1 species